GACGUAGGGAGCAAGCGUUGUCCGGAAUUACUGGGCGUAAAGAGCUCGUAGGCGGGACCGUAAGUCCGAGAGGAAAUCUCAAGGCUCAACUUUGGGGCUUUCUUGGAUACUGCGGUUCUUGAGGAUGAGAGAGGUAAGUAGAAUUCCCGGUGUAGCGGUGAAAUGCGUAGAUAUCGGGAGGAAUACCAGUGGCGAAGGCGGCUUACUGGCUCAUUCCUGACGCUGAGGAGCGAAAGCGUGGGGAGCAAACGGG
rnacentral:rRNA from 1 species